AUAUCAAUAAACACUGAUCAACACAAUUGAUUGACCACAAUCAGAAGCAGGCUGAGCCCAUAACCUGUUAAAUAGUGUUUAAAUGAACUUUAUUGAUCAAGGAAUCAAUACAAACUAAAACUAAUUUUAGUAAAAUCUUAAUAGUAAAACUAAGGAUUUGAAUGGACCCAACAAUCAAUUGUAACUUGUAAAUGGUAACAAUGAAAAAUCUAAUUGUUAACAAACUAAGACAUAUUGUUAUGUUUAACAGGUUCCAACAAGAUGGUGCAACUGCUCAUUGCACCGAUCUUACUCUUUCUCUUCUAAGUUGUUAUUUUGAUGACCGAGUAAUAAGUCGAAGAAGCGAUUUUGAAUGGCCCGCUCAUUCUCCUGAUCUCAAUCCUCUUGACUAUUUUUUAUGGGGUUAUAUUGAGGACCUAGUUAGACGUGAUAAGCCUUACAGUUUAGAUCAAUUGAAAUCAACAAUAAAACAAAAAAUAGAAUGUGUAGAAAAAGAAGUCCUCGAUCGAGCGGUCAAUAAUUUAAAUGUCAGGCUUGAUUCUUGCUUAGCCCACAAUGGCUCACAUUUUGCCUUCUCUCUCUAACAAAACUCAAUUUCAGUUGAAUAAAAAUGAAUGAUUAAUUCAAUAAAGGAUAAAUUAUCAAAGCUUGUGUUUUGUGUUCAAUUCGGUGAUCUGGUUCCAUUCCAAUUAGUGAAUUGUUUAGUUUAAGUGAAAUAGUGAAUGUAAACAAACAAAAGGAUAAACAACAACAACAACAAGGAAAGCGUGGACGUUACUAUGGAUGGACAGUAACAACAACAUUUUAAUCAUUAGAUGCUGGCGGAUUUUAGAGCAACACCCUUUAUUUAACUUUUUUAGUUCGCUUAGCAAUUAAAUGGCUCCAUCCAACACACACUGUAAGAAAAUUUUUAUUUAAUCAAAAAAAGUGUUCACUUGCUCAAUCCUUAUUCAAUUGCCUUAAGAUGACUUCAACAUGACUUGAAAUCAGUAAAAAUAUUCAAAUGCUGCGCCUCAACAAUCAGAUGAUUGUGGCCUUACCUUAUUGUGAUCUUACCUUUGUAGCAGUUCAUUAAAUCGUCCAGGUUAUUAACACAAUCAAAAAUGGCGAGUAAACAAUCAUCGGGAAGUUCAUAGAUCAACAUUUUAAAAUAAUUAUUUUUAACUUAAAUUUUCCUUGACUCUAUUGCUUGAAGUGAAAAGGGUUUUAAGACUUAAAAAGUUAUUAUUUUCAUAACAAGGGGCUGAUUCGACCAUAACUGAUGGCAAUCCAGUCUGAAAAAAACAAAUCCGUAACGAAACAGGAAUCGUCUAAAUGAGAAAUGAAAAGAUAAAAGCUUAAGAUUAAAGUUAUUGCUUUCGUUUUGCGCCCGAAGGGCUUGAAAUGCUCAAGAUUCUUAUUGGUAAUUCACUCCAUUUAGCUUAUCAACGCUAAGUUAACGAACACUCAGCUGUACUCAAACCCAAAGCUUAUCAUACGCUGUAGAAUAUUCAUUAUUGAUUGAAUUAAGUCGAAUUUUUCUCCGGUAUUCAAGUAUUCAUCUUAAAGCCCAUAAUGAAUCUAAUGAUUGGUCAAAGAAUCAUUACUGUAGGGGUUACGAUUCUCGAUGUAAUGAGGAUCAAAGUUUUAAUGUCAAUGGCCAAAAUGAAGAGAACUGUCAAUAAAAUGAAAAAUUGUGCGAUCAAUCAUGUUCAGCAAAUAUUUUUAUCGACGAAAAAUGAGUUUCAACUAUUACUGCCACUCGAAGCUCCAGGUAAUUUCACGAAAUAAGCACAUUUUCUGGUUGACCAUGAGAAG